UAAGGAACAGGCUGCAGGAUAUGCUAAACUUUUGGCCAAGAGAAUGAAGGAGGCUAAAGAGAAGAGGCGCCAGGAACAAACUGCGAAGAGACGCAGACUUUUCUCUUUGCGAGCUUCUACUUCUAAGUCUGAAUCUGUGUUUUCUUUCAGCCUAUUUUAAAUUAAAUAGCUAUUGCAUUCUGUCAAUUAACAAAGCUGGAAUUGAAUCUGGCCCUGGAUCUUACAGCAGGAAAAAGAAAGAAAGGAAGAAGAAGAAAGAAAAAAAGAAUAAAAGAGAGAAAGAAAGAGGAAGAGAAAGAGGGAGAGAGAACAGGAAACUUGCUCUGUUGCCCAGGCUAGAAUGCAGUCGAAAAAUGGGUAUUAAAAACCUCUUUUAUGCCAAUAAAUGUGCUUAACAAUGGAGACAGGAAGAAAUAAGGGAGGAAAGUAACAAGCAGCCAACCAAUAUUUCAUUUAAACCUGUGAAAUGCUAUGCAAUUGCUGAGGAGGGAUUUACUUCCAAUUUUGUGGUCACUUUUAGAAUAGGUGUGAUGUGAUACUGAGAAAAAUGUGUGUUUUGUGGAUUUGGGGUGGAGAGUUCUGUAAAUGUUUAUUAAGUUUACUUAUUUCAAGUCUGAGUUCAAGUCCUGGAUAUCCUUGUUAAUUUUCUGUCUCAUUAUCUAAUAUUGACAAAGUCUCCCACUAUUAUUAUGUGGGAGUCUAAGUCUCUGUAAGUCAUUAAGAACUUGCCUGAUGUAUCUGGGUGCUCCUGUAUUGGGUAUGUAUAUAUUUAGGAUCAUUAGCUCUUCUUGUUACACUGAUCUUUUUACCAUUAUGUAAUGUCCUUCUUUGCCCCUUUUGGUCUUUGUUGCUUUAAAGUCUAUUUUAUCAGAGGCGAGAAUUGCAACUCCUGCUUUUUUUUUUCUCUCUCUCCAUUUGAUUGGUAAAUCUUCCUGCAUCCCUUUGUUUUGAGUCUGUGUAUCCUUGCAUGUGAGAUGGGUCUGGAUGCAGCAUACUGAUGGGUUUUGGCUUUUUAUCCAAUUUGCCUGUCUGUUUCUUUUGGUUGGGGCAUUUAGUCCAUUUAAAUUUGGGAUUGAUAUUGAUAUAUAUGAGUUUAAUACUGCCAUUUGAGUCUAGCUGGCUGUUUUGCCCAUUAGUUGACGUAAAUUCUUCAUUAUGUUGAUGCUCUUUACCUUUUGAUAUGUUUUUGGAAUGGCUGAUACUAGUUGUUCCUUUCUAUGUGUAAUGCUUCUUUCAGAAGCUCUUGUAAAGCAGGCCUGGUGGUGAUGAAAUCUCUGAGUACUUGCUUGUUCGCAAAAAAUUUUAUUUUUCCUUCACUUAUAAAGCUUAGUUUGGCUGGAUCUGAAAUUCUGGGUUGAAAGUUUUUUUCUUUAAGAAUGUUGAAUACUGGCCCUCACUCUCUUCUGGCUUGUAGGGUUUCUGCUGAGAGAUCUGCUGUGAGUCUGAGAGGCUUCCCUUUGAGGGUAACCUGACCUUUCUCUCUUGCUGCCCUUAGUAUUUUCUCCUUCAUUUCAACCCUGGUGAAUCUAACAAUUAUGUGCCUUGUUGCUCUUCUUGAGGAAUAUCUUUGUGGUAUUCUCUGUAUUACCUGGAAUUGAGUAUUGUCCUGUUUGCUAGAUUGGGAAAGUUUUCCUGGAUAAUAUCCUGAAGAAUAUUUUCCAGGUUGGAUUCAUUCUCUUCAUCACAUUCAGGUACACCUAUCAAACAUAGACUAGGUCUUUUCACAUAGUCCCAUAUUUCUCGAAGACUUUGCUCAUUCCUUUUUAGCCUUUUUUCUCUAACCUGUCUUCUCAUUUUAUUUCAUUAAGUUGGUCUUCGACCUCUGAUAUCCUUUCUUCUGCUUGAUCAAUUCGACUGUUAAAACUUGUGCAUACUUCAUGAAGUUCUUGUAUUGUGUUUUUCAGCUCUAUUAAUUCACUUAUAUUCUCUCUAAAUUGUCUAUUCUCAUUAGCAUUUCGUCAAACCUUUUUUCAAGGUACUUAGUUUCUUUGCAUUUGGUUAGAACAUGUUCUUUUAGCUCACAGAAGUUUCUUAUUAUCCACUUUCUGAAACCUGAUUCUGUCAUUCAUCACACUCAUUCUCCAUCAGGCCUUAUUCCGUUUCAUGAUUGCAUGAGGAGCUGCGAUCCCCUAUAGGAGGAGAGACAUUCUGAUUUAGGGUAUUUUCAGCCUUUUUGCGCUGGUUUCUUCCCAUCUUUGUGGAUUUACCCACCUGUCGUCUUUGUAAUUGCUGACUUUCAGAUUGGGUCUCUGAAUAGACGUCCAGCUUGUUGGUGAUGAAAUUUCUUUCUGUUUCUUAGUUUCCUUUGGCAGACACCCCUCCCCCACAGAGCUGGACCUUCCCGGGUUCAGCUGUGCUUACUGUGAAACUCUCAAUCUUCAGUGCUUCCAAUUGCUGUUUGUUUGUGGGGGUACUGCGCCAGCUGAAACAGCGGCAUUGAGAUUCGUGGCACUUUUCUGCCUAGAAAUCUCCCGGUCUGGCCCCCCACUUCCGUCCCCCCCUUCAAUCAGUUGAAUGGGUGACUCUGCCUUUCCGGAGCUCCAAACGCCAACUAAAAGGGCACCCAGUCUCGUAUACUCCGUACUGAGAACUGCUGCGCCGGGGUGCUGGCAAAACAGCUGCACCGGCCAAAAGAGUCGUGCUGGUGACCUGCAGGGCUCCUCUGCCAGGAAUCUCCUGGUCCGUGGGCAACAAAAAUUCAUCUGAAAGUGUGGCGUCCACUCACUCUCUGCACUUUUACUGGGAGCUACAAUCCUGAGCUGCUGUUAAUCGGCCAUCUUGAAUCUCUCUCCCACCAUUGACUCAUUCUAUACACUUGGGCAACUUGAAGCCUUAAAUUCCUCAGCUGUAAACUGGGAAUGCUAAAUUGUGAGAAUAAAUAAAUGUAAAGAUUUGAGAACAGUGCUUAAUACCAUAAAACAUAGUUAAUUU